AGCGCUGAGGAAGGCAUGGGCCGCCACUCUUCCGGUCCGCGCCGCAGGGGAGGACGCCACAUUCCUCCUUCCCUGUCCCCUCCCUGUUGCUUUUCCAAGAAACACGCCCCGGUUCCCCGAGGCUGGGCACGGAGGUUGCACCCGAAACGCAACCCUGCGCCGCCCCCCUGCUCUGAGCGCUGCGUUACGGUUCCUUCAGCAUCGGCCUGGGGGUGUGUGGGGGGGGACACGGGGCGUGUGCGAGGACGCACCUGUGCCUCGUAUCCAGAGAGGAGGGCUCUCCCAGCCUCAUCCCCUUCCCGUUUCAGCUCCCCAUGCGCACUCGCCCAUCUCCCUUCAGGUCGUCGACGGGGGGUUCCCUAAUCUCUUGGAGCUCUAAAUGUGUAGGUUGAAGCCGUGGAAACCCCCGUUUCCCCUUCCCUGAGUCACGCGACCUCCCUUGCACCCCGCCAAGGAAGAGAUGGAGGCUUGAGGACAGGGGCGCCCCCCGGCGGCGGGCUACGAGGCGGGGCAGACGUGGCCAUGGGCGACGCGAAGUAGGCCAGGGAAUCAAACCCAACCCUCGCGCGGCUCGCGGGGUCCGGGAGCCCCGACCCCUCCGAGUCGCCCCCUGAGGCUGUGCCUCUGCUCCUCGUGCGCGGGGACUCGGGGCCGAGCGAGCCUGGUACCCUGUGCUUCACCGAGGCUCCCCGGCUGGGAUGCUGUCCACCCCGUGUCACGGACUCCCGGGUGCUCGCGCCCCCGCCGCAUCAGGGAAGGGAGCGACGCGUGGGAGAUGUCUGGGCCAUCGGGUCUCCGCUGGGUCUGCGGGCGACCUUGAGUACCGGGGAGAGGGGGCAGGACGGGGAGCGCCACCCCAACAGGCGCUCUCCCUAGAAUUCGUUUUGGAGGGUGCCCCCCCUCCCCCUGCGUUCGGCGAAUGAGCCUGGCCUCCCGGUGAGUCACCGCGAGCGGGCGACAAGGAUUCCCAGCAGCCGGUAAUUAAUUGCACCGCGGCUCGGCCCACGGCGGGACCCCAGUCGGGCCGUGCCUCCCGCAGCCCUGCAGCGGCGCCACCCCUGAGUCACAGCCGUCGGACCUCCGCCGUCCGGAAGCGGCCUGCCGGCCUGGGCGCCGCCAGAGGGCACUGGACUCCGACCCACUGUGGGCCCGCUUUGAGCCAAUCCUGCGGAGGGGAGUCCAGGCUGUCCCCGCUAGCAGGUGGGAACCCUUCCAACCAGAGAGGGUCACGUGUCCAGGGACACAAGGCAAUUCCGACCUGGAACCAGCACUUGAACUUCCUGGUGGCUCUGUGCAGUCACUGCUCCUUCAAGGCCCAGCUGCCUUCUGACCCCAAGUUCGCAAUGCCAUUAAUAGCAGACCAACUCCCAAAUGCUGGGUCUCCCCCCUCCAAAAUAAAGCUUUGGGACUGAAGAGAAACAAGGCAGGAAGGCGCGUCUCAGGGUGGGAUCGGUGGGUGGAAGAGGAGGGAGUCCCGGUCUGCCCAUCUGCACCCACACUGCUCCUCACCGUCACUCCCCUUCCAUGGUGUUGACCUACAGGUGGAACAUGAGCUCCUUGGAGCAGAGCCCAGGUCUCGACAUCUUCCUGUGUCCCCAGCACUCAUCUCCAAGGCAGUUGCUCAGCUCUCACUGUGGGUUCUGCCACAUGACAAUUCAGAAGGAGAUCAGCCUGGUGACAGUGCCUCUGGGGAGCCCACCUCCCUCUUUGCUUCUGGUUCUUUGCAGGGGCUGAAGCACCAAGCCCACCCCAGCCUUGAGGUGGACUCAGAGCUCAGGUGUGGCCAAUCGGAGCCCAGGAUUCCCCCAGCCACAGUGAUUGGCUGGGCGUGGUUCAUUUCACAACCAAUGAGAGCCCUGGGAAAGCAUUUCUAAGAGGCGCCAAGGCAGAGGGAGGGGCGCAGGUAAUGAGGCCACAGGCCCACAGGGCACAGCAGAGCCCCCCACCCACCCACUGGGGGGUCAAGUGCAUUCUCCCGUUCAGGCCACUGUGAGUUGGUCCCAAGCAGGAGCAGCGCCGCCGGCACCUGCGAGGUGGCAGCCUGUCCCUGGGCCUCCCUGAACCUCAGCGUUUUUAGCAAAAACAGAUGUAUCUGAUUAAGUAAUAAAGGACAUGGUGGUUUUAGAACUCUCGACUGCCUAGGUAGAUUUGCUAGGUUUUUUACACAUGGUGCGAGUGCCCAUCACCGCAGGUCUAAGGAUUAUGACCCGGUCCGAGCCAGAGACCCGUUUAUCGCUGUUCCCAGUGAGGCAGCAUGGGCCCCACUCCCGGUCCAGUGCUCCUCCCACAUCAGCACCCUGUGUCUGUGAAACACGUUAUCCUGCUAGUAGAGGACAGAGGUGCAGCGCUCUCGGCCAAAGGUCCCCCAGCGGUUGCCCAGGGGCCCCAACAGGCAGCAGUCAGUGCUGGCGGAAGGUAGGCGCCCUUCGCUGGCAAGGAGCCAGAGCUGCCUGCCGUGCCCAGAACACAUGACUCCUUGGGCACAUGCAGUGCUUCGUCACAUUAAUGCCCACAUCUUUGCAAACAGGCCGACGAUGCAGACUCAUCACCCCCAUUUUACAGAUGGGGAAGGUGAGGCACUGAGUCCGGUGGCCCCAAAUCACAGAGAGGAGCUGUGGUGAGCCUGCCCUUCCUCGGGGCCCCAGUGCCAGCACUAUAGGUUCCUCCCGCCACGCCUAGCUUUGCCAGACCUCACUGAUUCCUCGUGGCCUGCGACAUUUGCGAUUGAUGGCACGUCUCCACGUUAGACCUCCAGCAGUGGUGAUUCCAGAGGACAGCACUCGGCAGCUGGGCAGCCGGGCCCAUCCGGAGCUUCCCAGGCUCUGCUUUGGGAGGUGAAUCAGUGUGUCAUUGAGCCAGGGGUCUGUGGUCACAGUUUAGGAGCAUUGGGUUAAACAGGAGAGGAAUCGGGACCUCUCAGAGCCUUUGGUCCGCUAACCGGCAUUGUGGCCCCAGACAGAAGUACUGCAAGCAGUGUUUCCCAGAUUCAUUCAACCCCGAAUCUGCCUUUGGGCGCAAGGUCGGCCUCAGCACCAGAUCCUGGGGCCGCUCUUGGGAAACCAUGGGCCCCGCCCAAAGAGCAGGGCACAGGGAGGCAGGGCACCUGGGUUCCACUUCCAGUCCCACACAGACAAACCCUCUACCAGUUCAGGUCCUUGUGGCCGCCAGCUUCUCGCUGCCCCCCCACACACACUUCCAGCUGAGCACCCCUUCUCUCCUCCACCUGGGGCCAGAGCCUCCUUCUGAACACACUGGCCCUUCCGUGCCGAAAGCCCUCCAGCUGGUCCUGGGUCAAGCCUAGGCCCUCGCCCUGGCAUUCCCACCCUCAGCCCCUGCCUCCCGCUCCAGCCAUCCCACGCACGCUGCCUCUCCCAGCUUUUGCUCCCGCUGUUCCCUCCUUCAAACCAAGGACGUCCCCCCGUGCCCCAUGCACACACACACAUCCUUGCUUUAUUAGAGGAAAUGUGAUUAGUGGAUCUGAGGCUUCUUAAUGGGGCCUGAACCAUGGCCCCUCUCCAUGGCUGAUCUGUAAAUAGCUCCGUCACAUUCCCCGAAGCCCCUGGGCUGCCAGGAUCAAUCGGGCCAUCGGCAGAGGCUCCUGCAGCUGACAGCUCCCGAGGGGGCUGCUGGAGGAGCAUGAGCCCGUGCCCAGCAGGAGGGUCUCAUUAACCGAGGUCUGAGCGGCAGGGUCGACACGGGGGGACGCUGUUCUAAAGCCAGGCAGACACGCUGGGAGGGCAGCAUGUCCGCGAGCACAGCUGGGCCUCCCGGGCAGUGGAGGGCAUCCCAUCCUGGCCUCCAUUUCUGGGGACCCGGGCUGGGCAGAGCAGGUUCCUGGGCGUUUGCUGACUAGAUUAAUGACAUGCAUCCAGGAAGGACAGACCGGUUGGUGGCCUUUUCUUGCAGCCAUCUCCCCACCCGGUGCCUGCAAUCACUAGACGUUCAUAGAGAGGAGACGUUUGUUGAAUCCAGUUCUGCUUUCUUAAAAGUAAUAAUAAUAAAUUGAUAAAACAAAAAUUGAAAACAAAAAUCUUCUGCUCUUAAAAAUAAAAACAAUAGUUGAUGGAGCAGGCCUUCAAUCGAGUUUCCUCGUCUUGAGCUUGGCUGUGAGACGGGCUGAUCUCCUAGGGCUGUUGGUGUGAUGAGACCAACUGAAUGGUGUCAGCACGGCAGAAGCGGCACAGCUCGGGUCCGAGGGAGCUGUGGGGACUCUCUCCCCAGAAGCAGCCUGUCCCUGACACGUGCGCCCAGCACGGCCCACAUGUCACCUCUCCCAGAUGGACACGAAUUGCACUCAGGCCGUGCAGUGAGUACAGGCGGCCAGGGUCCAAAUCCUAGGCUGUCAUUUUCUCCCAGUGUGACCUUGGGCCAGCGAGGCACCCUCUCUGCGUCCCUUUCACGCUUGGAUGAGCGAGGGGAGAAGAGUGACCCCCGCCAGGUGAAGGGAGCCCAGGCGUGUGUGGCUCCUGGCAGAGGCCGGCCUCAUGUGGUCCCGCCCGCAGAGGGCACGCUGCCCUCCCCUCUCCACCUCACCGCCCGCAGGCCAGGAGCGGCGCCAGCCGCCACAUGCUCGCGGUGGGGACACUACUCCACAGCCAGCUCCCUCCGGGCGGGAGCUAACUUUAGCCCGGUCACAUGGCGCGGGCGCGGUGCCGGUGCUCAGAGUGUACCGAUCCCUGUGAAGGUGUUUAAAUAUUUUUCCUUUUCGGAAGCCUGGUUCUCACCUCUGCCACUUCCACCUUUGUGUGGCAGAAGGUAUUUUUGUGAACGAAGCCAAGGUGGCAGUGACUUCUCAGCGUGAUGCCGCGGUCCUGUGCACACCGCUGGUGUCUCAGGGACUUGCAGGUGUGUCAGCUCCCAGGGAGAGAGACGAGGGGAAGGGUGCGUGCAAGGCCCCAAAGGCCCCUGCGCCCCGUUCCAUGGUCCCUCCCCCCGGUGGCCUCCAGGGCCCCCAGGCGGGGUGUGGGCAAGGCCCUGUGUGCCCCCACUGCCAGCAGCACUGGUGCCUUGUGUUCACACUCGGCCUCAUGCUCCCCGGGAACAGGGCCUUCCUACCUGUCUGCCCCCAGUAGCGAGGAGGGCUUGGCAAACAUCCACUGAGUGGAACUAAGGCCCGAGUCCCCUGGAAGUGCCUGGGAGGUUAUCUCCACCUCUAAGCUGCUCUCUGCCCCCAACAUCACCUGUCAGACUGGGGGUCUAUGUGCCGGGCUUAAGCUGGGGUCUGGGACACAAGGCGGGCAGGAGAUGGCGGAGUGUGGAGCUGGAGACCUGUAGGUCACGUGGGGGCUGCAGAAGCCCAGAAGAGCCAAGACUAGGGGGGCCCAGAGUGUUCUCCAGUAAACGGGCCUUUGCUUUCCAGCCCCUGGGCUGCAGGACGGGCUCGUCCCAGCUCUCGAGGUUGCUGUGAGCACAGAGCAGGCCCUGUCACGCCGAGGAUGAGCACAUAGUAGGGACAACCUUCCUACAGGACGAAGGAACUCAGGCAAUUCGUGUCCUUCCUCGUUGGACGAAUGAGGAUACCACGGCCCAGAGAAGUAGCAGGGCUUACGGGGGGCACGGAGUUGUCAUCGGCAGAGCUGGGACAACAUCUGCCUCCGGUGUCGCCUGAGCUCAGGACCCCUGAGGGUCUCCAGGGAGUCUUCCCAGCUCAGCAACCCGGCUCUUGCCCCCCAUGCCCACGAGAGGCACUGGGGAGCCCGCAGCAAGGUCCCUGCUGUCACGCAGCAGACGUCCUGCUGAGAGAGUGGGCAAUACGCUGGUUAGCCAGCAGGGCACAGCCGGAGAUGGGGGACUGCAGGAAGAUGAGACAGCAUGGGACAGCGAAAAGUGUGGCGUGGGCCAAGCAGUACUGGGGCACAGUGGUCAGGGACAGCCUCCCUCAGGAGAUGGCACUUGAGCUGAGACUUGAAUGACGUGUUGGAAUCCAGGGGUGGGUGUCCAGGCAGAGGGAACCGCUGAUGCCCUGCAUCAGGAGAAGGAUCUUGGCUUGUUCAGGGACGAGCAAGAAGGCCAAGGUGGCUGGGAUGUGGGUCUGGGAGAAGGCGGUCAAGGUCAGGGACCCAAGGUCCCUGGAGGACAGGAGGCAGGGCCAGGUCACGAAGGUUCUCACAGGUCACAGGCAGCUGGAUUUCACUCGUGCGUUCGCAGAAGUCCACAUGUGUCCAUACCGAGGCGGCAGCUGAGUCGCACGGCGUCUCACUGGACAGGUAAGGGGCCCCCACAUCCUGUUGGCAUGGGCAGCACAGGGCACUGGGGCCCAGGCAGCUCUGUGACCUGGAGGAGGAAAGGCCCCUAGGAAAUGGACAGCUAAUUAAAACAAUAAUGACUCCAUCUCUGAUGACUGCGUGCUCGGGCUGCAGUGCGCACAGCUCGUCACCGGCCUCCCGGAGCCACCACUGAGUGUCUCUCACUCGGUGCUGAGAUCUGCGGGGGCGGAGGGGCAGUGUGAAUUAGGUGAGGACACUGCAGCUUCUGAUACUAUCUGGCCCCCAAUGCCCUAGGAUGGGCCUGGCAGACACGGGGUGACUUCCGCAGCACCAGGAAGGGUCCCCAAUGCCCCAAAUCCCUCCCCUACCUGCACGGAUGCCUCACAUCUCCUUAAUGGUGGCAGAUUGAAUCACUGACUCUUUUUUUAAAAUAAUUUUAUCCUUUUCAUUGAUUUAUUCUUGAUCACAAACCACCGUGUUUGCAUAAAAUAAAGAAACAGAGGAAAAUACAAUGAAACAAAAGAAAAACACCCAAAUCCUAAGGAUUUCCUCCCCACCCCAGGAAAUCACCAUUUCGGUCAUAGGGUCCAGCUCUGGGAAACGGUGACUUUGUACGCUAAAGCCAACAGCUGCUGAUGUACCACCUCCCUUAAGAGUCAAGCUCAAGGAGCUGGUAGAAGCACAAAGGCCAUGGAUGUCCAAGAGGGUCCAGGGAGGACGUGAGAGGGAGAGGAGGCGCCAGGGGGGAGGCGGGGGGCACCGAUGCCAUCAGGCUGAGCCCAGAACCACACCUCAGGCUGUGCUCCCGUUUUUGCCACACUUGGUUCCCACAGGGCAGUCCAGAUGGAACCAAGCAGAGACUCUGUCCCUCCUGAGUAGAUGACAACCGUGCCGUCCCAGCACAGCAUGAGCAAAUGUCCCCAGAUCAAGACUGUGGGUGCAUGUGGGGGGUCUGUGGUGCCUGGGGGAGGGGCGGCUGGCCAGGGCACCAGGUGAGAGGGGUGGGCCGGACUGGUCAGGAGCUCAGUGAGCACGGGGCAGACCUCUCCUGGGAGUCUCGGGUCCUGAGGCUCCCGGCUGAGCCGGUGGUGCGGGCAUGAAAACCCACACGGUGAGCCGCGGGCCGCCCUGGCAGUCUGUGAACCUCAGUGGGGGCAGUGCAAACGGGUGGGCUGUGGUUUUAAUCCUGCGUCACCACCUGCUGGCUGUUUGACCUCCAGUCUGUCACUUCCCCUGAGUCUGUUUCGUCACCUGUGAAAUAGGGAGGUGGUACAUGUUUUGCUGUUAGCAGACUGCCUGGCAUAGGUGUGUGAUGAAUGAAGGUGAGCUGGUCAAGCUUGUCUCUGUCCCUAGCCUUGAACCUCACUCGCUCGUAAAGUCCUCUUGCUCCGCCCAAUGCAGGGGUACCAGCUGCACCCACACAACAGACCUGGGACAUCCCCAGGCCAGCAGAGCAGAGGCAGCAGCAGAAGCACGAGGGUGUCAGAAGGAAGUAGGGAGAGAUGGCGGGAGCAUGGAGGGGCAGAGCACAUAGAAGGCGGGAUAGACGAUGGGCGUGGGCAGGUGGACCUAGAGUGAGUUCUCUUGACUUCAGGGCAGGUGGACCCGUCCUGGGUGUUUCCACCCGAGUCCCAUCUCUCCCAGGCUAGAUCUUAGCGUCUGAGAGCCUGGGGGCCAGAACAGAGAUACGCUUGUUCGUGCUUUCUUGACACAAAACACCUCCUCAGCCAGUUCCUGGUCCAGGCCCUGCAGGCCACAAAGUGAGGUCAGGGCGCUGACACAUCACAGACCAAGGCCCCGUGUCCAGGCCGGCCGCUGCGCUCCGUCAGCUGCAGUGUUGCCUGCAGUUCAGCCCCUCGCGGGGGCAGCUCGUGCUCGGCCUCGCCGCCCUGCAGGGCGCCCGGCACGUGGUCUCUGGCAGCACGGAAAGCGUGAGGAGCCUCAGGCGGGGCUCUGGGGCCAGGGGUCUCUUCGCUCCAGUCUGUCUGUCUUCCUGAGCCGGAGAUUUUCGGCAGCCAACUGAGCACUUGGCCUCCUCCCCGCAGCGCUCCCUUCCCUCCCUCACCCCGGGGUCCUGUCCCCAAACCUGUCCCCUCACCUGUGAGGGCAAAGGGAAGGCAUGUGAGGAAGAGACAAGAAAAGACUCAAACCUGAAAUCAAUGAGACAGAACAGAUCCCACAAAACGGAGAAAGAUGAAAACGGAAAGGCAGAGCACUGAGCAGCGGGCCUUGGAAUGUGGGUAAAUUAAAUCAAAUGAGGAAGGAUAGACUUGUCUUGGGCUGUGUCACCUAAGUGCUAAGUAAGGGUUCCUGAAAUAGAAGGUUCACACUGGAAGGGAAAAUGCUAAUGAUAGGCUAUUUAUAAAAGUCAUAGCUCAGCAACACCCACAAGUUAUGGGCCUGAGAAAUUACAAGCUUCCCAAGGAUCUCAUCCUCGAUGGGGAGGGGAGAGGAAGAAAGAAGCAAAAAGAAUUCUAGAAGUGUCGUACUGGACUGAGGAGGGAUAAUUAGAGGGAAAAGAGAGCAUCGUCUUGGGUGAAAUAGUUGGUAUCUUAUUUUCACCUCGUAGUAGAGAAAUCUGUGUCUGGUUAUGUAAACAGGAGAGGAAGUGGCCCUCAAGGCAAUGGGACAUGCCUUGGUGUCUGCUCAGGUGGCUGUAGCAAAAUCCCAGACUGGGGGACUUCAACAACAGACAUUUGUUUCUCACAGGCCUGGAGGCCAGCGGGGUGGGUCACAGCUCUUGGCUCGCUGAUGUCCGACAUCCUGCCGUGUGCUCACAUGACCUCUCUGUGCACACUCUGGGGAGUGAAGGGCGAGAGAGCGCCCUCUGGUGCCUUUUCUGAUGAGGACACUAAUCCCUUCGGAUCUGGGCCCCACCCAUAUGACCUCAUUGAACCUUAAUCGCUUCCUUAGAGGCCCCAUUUCCAAAUACAGCCACACUGAGGUUUAGGGCUUCAAUGUAUUCACUUUGGGGAGACACAAACAUUCAGCCCAUAAUGGAAGAGCCUAAGUAGGCACUUCCGAAUUAACAAAGGGACAAGAGAAGGAACAGUAACUUGAUCAAACCAUCAAAAAUGAGGAAGAAACAAUGAUGCAAAAUAAAUAAUCAACAAUAGAAUAUUGUAAGAACUGCAUUAUAUAUAUGACUAAAUAUCUGAAAUGGACGGAACUGAAUUCUCCCGUUAAAAGACAGGCAUUGUCAUAUGGGGUUCAACAAGCCAAAGAAGUAACGCCAAUUAUAAGCUGUUUAUUAACUUGAAACAAAAUAUUUUAAAUAUUUAAAAUAAAAUGCUGGGAAAAUGUUUUGCAAGGAUAAAGCAAAUGACAAUAUAGGACUAGUAGAUAUUAAUCUCAAAAAUGGUUAAAAAUACUUAUAUGUGAUAAAUCAGAACAUUAUACAAUAAAGUGAUAUACUCGUAUAGCCAUAAGCCUGUAUGUUUUUUAAAAAAGAAGAGCUCAAUAUAUAAAGCAAAACCUACUAGGAGAGGAAAGAGAACUUGAUAAAAAUAAAAGUAUAGUGACAGACAACUGCACAUCUCUAUCAGAAAUGUACAAAAGUAUUAGAAAUUAAGAAAAAUUCGAAAUUAAAAAGCAAUCCAAUCUGUUGCAUGGCCAUUGAUUGGAGCCUAGUUAGAACAAAACGGAUUUUAAGUAGUUAGUUUAGGGAGAAUUAGGAAAAUUUGAAGAUGGUGGAGUUUUAGGAGAUCUUAGAAGGUCACUGGAAUUUUCUCACGUGCAGUAAUGGUGUCAUGGUUACGUAGUGAGGCGUCCUUCUUUAUCAGCAAGGCAAACUAAAGUAUCUGGGGUGAAAUGCCAUGAAGCCUAUAAUUUAAUUUUAAAUAACUGGGUCAAAAACAAAUCUGGCAAAAUGCACAGUUAUUGAAUGGUGAUGGAUGUAUUGUGUGUAGUCUACCUGUCUCUGCUUUUCUGUGCCUUCAAAAUUUUAAAACAACCAAAUAAUAGCACCAGAAUUUUUAAAAAUGCAAUCAAUCAAUGGGAAAUGUAUAUAUACCAUACAAAUUUAUAUAUUCUCAAAUAGUGAAUACCUUUUCAUAGACCCAAGGGCUACUGAUGAAAAUCAGUACGUAAUAGGCCAGCAAGGAAACUACCAAAUCCAAAAACACAAGAAUAAAGUUUUUCACAGGCCCUCACGCUCUGGCCAUAUCCAAUACAAGUAGAAAUCAGUAAUAAAAAGGGAGCCCCAACCACUUUUACUACUUGCAAAUUUAAAACGUUCCUGCACAACUCUUAGCUCAAAGAGAAACUCAGAGUUGAAAUUACAUACUAGCUGGAAAACAAACAAAAAGAAAAUGCUUCCUACUAAGACAUACGGAGUAAAGUUGGCAGAGCUUAGAAACGCGCAGCCUGAAAUGCCUUCAUUAGAAAAGGAAAACGACUAAACAUAACCUCAUUUUUAGUACUUGUCUCAAGAAAUUAGGAGAAGAAACAACAAAAGAAAUAAGAAAGAGGAAAUUCAUAAAGAACUGAAAUUGAUGAAAUAGAAAAAAAUUUAAAACAGUGGAAAGAAUAUGUAAAUGCAAAAGCUUGUUCUUUGAAAUGGCUAAUAAAAUAGAAAAAACCCUCAUUAGUCCAAUUACAGAGAAUGAAGAGAGAGAGAGUAAAAUUAGACAAGAUUAGGAACGAAGAAGGUAGGCAUACCAAUAUAACUACAGAUACGGAGGAGAUAAAAAAUAGUUAUGAGGGAAUAUCAUAUGCAACUCUGUGAAAACCUCAGGGACAAGGACGAUUUCCUAGUAACAGUAAAUUACCAAAAUCAGUUUAGGAAAAAAUGGAAAUUUUUAAUAGACCAAUUACCAUGGAAGAGAUUAGAAGGUGAUGGGAGAGCUACCUGAAAAGGACGUGAACCCGACAGGCUCACAGCUGAGUUUUAUCUAAUUUCUAAAGAACUAGUCAUUUCAGUGCUGUUUAAGCUAUUUGGGGUCAUAGAAAAAGAUAGAAACUUCCUUAUUUAUUCUGUGCAUCUGGAAAAACUUUAAUACAAAUAAUACAAUAUAAGGGAAGCUAUAGACCAACGGCACUUAGGAAUAUAAGUGAAAAUAUCUCAAUAGAAUACUAGCAAAUAGAAUUCAAGCAACCGAUCAAAAGAACACUACAUUACGGAAUAGGAUGUGUGGGUGAUGGCCCUUGACCAUGGGGACAUUUUGUAGGCAUACUGUCACUCCUCUUCUCCGAGCAUCCCUUGGUGUGACAGACAGGACAUGUUAGGUGAUGAUCAGGUGGGUCAAAUGAACAGGACUGGACCAGGGAGCCUUAAUAUCUUUUAGUAAAUGCCACAAUUUUGUAUGGAAACGUUAUGGGGUUUAUUUCUAAAACAGGCUCUAAAAGGUAAUCUUGCUUCAGCAUCUUAUAAAUGUUCCAUGCAACUAAUUCCUUUCCAAUUUGAAAUCCACUGAGGGCAAGGCUGAAGGAACGUACUUGGUUUUUUUGGGGCAAAAGACAUUGUGCUAAAUGUGUGAUGCAUCUAAUGUCAUUGAGUUUCGGCAGCAACUCUCUGGGGACUUGAUAUGAUUGACACUGAGGCUUGGAGGGGUGCGUGACUUCCGAGAGGACCCAGAUGGUGAAGGCAGAGUCGGGAUCUAUACCCUGCUGAGACUGGCUGCAAAGCCCAAGCGUUUAAAUGACAUACAUGGAAGCCACACGUGGAAGUCCCCCGGUGACUUCCUGGUGCACAGAGGAGUUCCAAUCCGUUUAGCCAAAGCCAGGAGCAAUGGAACAAACAUUGGAUUAGGUGUCAUGAGAGCUGGGAUCUAGUUCAUGCUCUGCCACCAGCUUGCUGGUGGGUUGGGCCAUGACUUUGAAAUCCUUGCCCUUGCUGGAUUCUGAGAUCCUCCUAUAGCUGGUCUGUGCAGAGCCAGCUGUGACACUGUCCGUGGUGCUGACGACGCUCCUGCCUGAGGGCUCCGGCUUCACCCAUUUUCAGAGGCGCUGGCCUGGGCGGCUGCCAGAAAGGCACUGUGAUUAAUCAGCAGGUUUGAAACGGCAAACUAAAUUCUAAAGGUGGAAGAAGGAAAGAAUUCUUUAUUGGUUUGCUGAAUCGGUGCCAAAGGAUCUUUCUUUUUUUACCAAAAGCUGUGUCUUUGACAAUUCUCAUCGCCUGGACCUGAAAUGAACAUCUCAAUUUUUGGAGAGAGGCAUAGAAUUGCAUCUCCACUGCCCAGAAGAAUAAUGGAACAUGACUUAAUCCCCAAAGCCCCCCCCGUCUGUCCCUCUCAAACCCCACCCUUCUUUAUCCCCAGGGAAUCAAUGCUGAGUUUUGUGUCAAUUGCUCACUUGUCCGUCUCUAUAGUAUUUUUUUUAACAGCUUGUGUAUGCACCCUUAAUACACUGGUUUGCUUUGGGAACUCCAUGCAAUUAGAAUCAUGUUGCAUGUGUUCUUCUGGUCCCUGCUUUAUUCCAUCAGCAUUGUUUUCAAAGGUCAGCCACGUUGUUGCAGUCACCAUUGUAUCCUGCUACACAAGAAUGCUACAGCGUAUUUAUACAUUCCGUUCCUAAUAAGCAUAAUAGGGAUUUAUGUCUUUUUUUCCUAUUAUGAACAAUUCUGCUAUAAACAUCCUGGUACAAAGGAUGUUGCACAAAGCAUUAAGGAUUCGUUAAGGUAGGGACAUGGCAGUGGGGUUGCUGUAUCACACAGUGUGACCAGCUCAGCUUUACUAGUCGUGGUAGGGACUCCUGGGCCUACAAACCCCCCUAUAGGAGACGCGCCCCAUCUGCAGCCACGUGGGGCCAUGACACUUGCUCUUCUCUAUGUAUUGUAAGUGUAAGUGACUUAUAUUAUGUCCAGGUUGAAUAAUCUCAUGUCAGUGUCAGACCUUCCUCACAGUUCUCCCAAUUUGUGACUUGUCUUUCCACCUCAUUUAUGAUAUUUUUUUGAUGAAUAAAAGUUCUCAAUUUUAA